GCCCUGGGCUACGGCUUCUUCGCCGAGCUGACGCUGCCCGAGGCCCUGCGGCACCUGGAGCGCCGGAGCCGCCUCCUCGCCGGGGCCUGCGGGAGCUCCAAGGCCUCCAGGACCUGCCAGCGCCCCCUGACCCCUGACCCCGGACGCCUGGGCCCCUCACUGGGGCUCCCCCCCCCCUCCCUGGUGACACCACAAGUGGACAUGAAGUGGGAGGAGCCAUUGGGGGUACCGGGGGGAGGGGGCGGAGCCCGGCGAACGGGGUAAAAAUAGGGGAAAUCGGGAGUAAACGAGGUGCAAACGACGAGCGAAGCGUGUGUGUGACGGGGUAGUAACGUUGAUGGGAACGGGGGGGGGGUAGGAUUAAGCUGUAACCUGCGGAGUGACGUCUGAGUAACACCCGGAGUAACCUGUGAUCAACACCUGGAGUAACCUGUGAGUAACACCUGGAGUAACGUGUGGGUAAUCCUAAAUUAACCUGUGAGUAACUCCCAGAGUAACAUCUGAGUAACCCCGGGGUCACCUGGGAGUAACCCCCGGGCCACCUGGGGGUAACCCCUGGGGUAACCUGUGAGUAACCCCCGGAGUGACAUUGUAGCUACUCCCAGGGUAACCUGUGAGUAACCCUCGGAGUAACAUGUUGGUAACCCCUGGGUAACCUGUGAGUAACACGCAGUUACCUGCGAGUAACCGCCAGAGCUGCCUGUAACCCCCAGAGUAACCUGUGAGUAACCCCCAGAGUCACCUGUGAGUAACCCGGGAGUAACAUUGUAGCAACCCCCCCCCCCCCGGGGUAACCGGGGAGUAAUCCUGGAGUAACCUGGGAAUAACCCCUAGGGUAACGUCUGAGUAACCCCAGGAGUAACCUGUGAGUAACCCCCAGCGUAACCUGAGUAACCCCCAGGGCCACCUGUAAGUAACCCCUGGAGUAACCUGUAGCACCUGAAGUGACAUUGUAGCAACCCCCAUAGUAACCUGUGAGUAACCUUCGGGGUCCCCUGUAAGUAACCCCCCGGGGUAACAUCUGAGUAAUCCUCCAGGAUCACCUGUAACCCCUGGGGUAACCUAUGAGUAACUCCCAGAGUGACAUUGUAGCAACCCCCAUAGUAACCUGUGAGUACCCCCCAGGGUAACCUGUGAGUAACUGCAGGGUAACCUGGGGGUAACCCUCAGGGCCACCUGUGAGUAACCCCUGGAGUAACAUUGUAGCCACCCCUGAGUAACCCCCCCCCCCGCGUAACCUGUGAGUAACCCCCGGGGUCACCUG
rnacentral:lncRNA from 1 species